rnacentral:rRNA from 1 species
CCUACGGGUGGCAGCAGUGAGGAAUAUUGGUCAAUGGGCUCACGUCUGAACCAGCCAAGUCGCGUGAGGGAUGACUGCCCUAUGGGUUGUAAACUUCUUUUGUCAGGGAGCAACGCCGGCUACGUGUAGCCGGACUGAGAGUACCUGAAGAAAAAGCAUCGGCUACCUCCGUGCCAGCAGCCGCGGUAAUACGGAGGAUGCGAGCGUUAUCCGGAUUCAUUGGGUUUAAAGGGUGCGUAGGCGGAAUGCCAAGUCAGCGGUAAAAUCGCGGGGCUCAACCUCGCUCCGCCGCUGAAACUGGCGGUCUUGAGUGCGCGAGAGGUAUGCGGAAUGCGUGGUGUAGCGGUGAAAUGCGUAGAUAUCACGAAGAACUCCGAUUGCGAAGGCAGCGUACCGGCGCCAGACUGACGCUGAGGCACGAAAGCGUGGGGAUCGAACAGGAUUAGAUACCCUAGUAGUC